AGCGGCGGACGGGUGAGUAACGCGUGGGUAACCUGCCUCAUACAGGGGGAUAACAGUUGGAAACGGCUGCUAAUACCGCAUAAGCGCACAGUACCGCAUGGUACGGUGUGAAAAACUCCGGUGGUAUGAGAUGGACCCGCGUCUGAUUAGGUAGUUGGUGGGGUAACGGCCUACCAAGCCGACGAUCAGUAGCCGACCUGAGAGGGUGACCGGCCACAUUGGGACUGAGACACGGCCCGA
rnacentral:rRNA from 1 species